UACGGGGGGGGGCAAGCGUUGUUCGGAAUUACUGGGCGUAAAGGGUCUGUAGGUGGCCAACUAAGUCAGACGUGAAAUCCCUCAGCUUAACUGGGGAACUGCGUCUGAUACUGGUUGGCUUGAGUGCAGGAGAGGAAUGCGGAAUUCCAGGUGUAGCGGUGAAAUGCGUAGAUAUCUGGAGGAAUACCGGUGGCGAAGGCGGCAUCCUGGACCAUUACUGACGCUGAAUCGCGAAAAGCUAGGGGAGCAAACGGGG
rnacentral:rRNA from 1 species